ACUUCUUCCUAUAAUAUGUAACACCCUACAUUUUGAAGAAAUCCAAGCAUCAGAGAAUCCUUAAAAGGAAACAUCUUACUUUACUAACACCAAAUCAAUGGUCAGCCAAACUGGAUUAUGCAGAAGCCCUACCAAAUUAUGGAAGAGCGUAUCUUCAAUAUGAGCACCUGUUGUUCUUAAUAAAUGCCUAUGCAAAAUAACUGAGACUGAUUGGUUGUCCUCAAACAAAUCUAGUGCUUUUUCA
rnacentral:misc_RNA from 1 species